AUAAAGUUGUGAGAAAUGGGGGUGGAGUCGCUAAGUGGAGUAUGUAUUGUUUUUUCAUCUUCCCUCCUUCCAAACAAACCAGAGUUCGAAAGAGAACCAUUUUGCGUUUCCGUACACGUUUGUCAAAUGUCUCUCUCGCUCUACCGGCAAUGCACUAGUGCCUCUCCGACUCUCUUCCUGCGAGCUCGAAGUUUCCGAUCCAACGCAGCAGUCGAAGCCCUAACCAAAGCAUCCGAAAACAAAACCCCAAACAUCGUCCUCUACAAUUACCCCUCAUUUUCAGGAGCCUUCUCUGCUCUCUUCGCUCACCUCUUCCACUCUCACCUCAAUCUCUCCUACCUCAUCUUGCCUUUUUCUUCCGUCGAACCCCUCAGGGUUGAAGAUUUGUGCGUUGAAGGACUCAAGAAAUGUUACCUUCUUGAUUUCCUGGGCCCGAGGGGAUUUGCCUCUGAGCUUGCACAUCGAACCUCAAGCGAGGUGAUAGGUUUUGAUCAUCGGAAAUCAGUAUUGUCCAAGAUUUCCUCUAAAGAAGAUCGUAGUGAGAAUGUUAUAUUUCAUGUUGAUCUUGAGAAGAGUAGCUCUACUUCCGCGUAUGAAUAUUUUUCUGCAGAACUUUCAAAAAUGAAAAUUUCUGAUGGGGAGGUCAUGAGUCUACUAAACCCAAAGGACCGAGAUCGUGUCGAAAUGGUUCUCAAGUACAUUCAGGAUGGGGAUCUUCACCAAUGGAGCUUGCCAGACAUUAAAUCAUUUAACAUAGGUCUUGGUGAAUGGCGUUCUACAUUGAAUUGCAUCACUAAUCCAGACAUGUAUGAGCAGUUACAGGAGAUAAGCUCUGUGGAUUUGAUUACCAAGGGAAAAUCUUAUAUCUCAGCUCGCCAUAAUGCUGCAUGUAAAUUGCUGGAUAAGGUUUUCAAAGUCAAAUUGGGUAGAGGAUUUUAUGGGGAAUGUCUGGGAGUAAGAGCUGAUGAUAAUCCCGAUUUAAGUGAUGAAAUAGGCAAGGAACUUUGCGUGAGGAGUGCUGCAGCUGGAUUAAGGCCUAUAGGAGCUGUUAUUUAUAUGCAACGAAACAAUCUUAAAAUGUGUUUGAGGAGUACAGAUGGUGCUACUGAUACCUCUGAAGUCGCAAAGGCAUAUGGUGGAGGCGGCUCCCCAAGUUCCAGCUCUUUCAUAAUAAGGAUGGAUGAGUAUAACCAGUGGCUUUCAAUGUGUUCACCAUGAGCACAUUAAGGUCAUUGCACACUGGAGGUAAAAACAAUUCCCUGGACCCUAUGUCUAAAAGAAUUACUGGCAGGCCGAGCAAACAUUCAAUUUUAUUCCAUUUAUCCAUAUUCCCUAGAGUUGGGAUGAAUGUGGAAGGAGGUUCGGGGACAGGGCAAAGGGACCCAGAGGUGAAGGACGGGUGUCCCGACAACAUCUUGCUCCAUCUUGAUGCUGGUGCUUUUGGUGUCUCUUUUUUUUUUUUUGUUUUUUGUUUUUCAGUUCAUUAUGUUUGUAUAACUGCUUUGCAGAGAAUGAGAGCAGCUAGGAGGGGAAGCUUGCCCCUCUAAGAACAAAUCAUCAUUACUCAUGAGAACCUUAAAAUGUGGAGGGAAAAACCAACAACCAUACUAUUUUUAUGUACAUGUAUUGCUUAUGUCUUUAAUUUGCUCUUAUUCAUGCAUUUAGGUCUUCUAUGAUUUCUUAAAA